AGUAGGGAAUAUUCCGCAAUGGGCGAAAGCCUGACGGAGCAACGCCGCGUGAGUGAAGAAGGUUUUCGGAUCGUAAAGCUCUGUCAACAGGGACGAAACAAGACGGUACCUGAGAAGGAAGCCACGGCAAACUACGUGCCAGCAGCCGCGGUAAUACGUAGGUGGCAAGCGUUGUCCGGAAUAACUGGGCGUAAAGCGCAUGUAGACGGCAUGAUAAGCCAAAUGUGAAAUGUAGGGGCUCAACCUCUGCACUGCGAUUGGAACUGUCAAGCUUGAGUGCAGGAGAGGCAAAUGGAAUUCCCAGUGUAGCAGUGAAAUGCGUAGAGAUUGGGAGGAACACCAGUGGCGAAGGCGAUUUGCUGGACUGCAACUGACGUUGAGAUGCGAAAGCUAGGGGAGCAAACGGGAUUAGAUACCCCGGUAGUCCUAGCCGUAAACGAUGGAUACUAGGUGUAGAGGGUAUCGACCCCUUCUGUGCCGCAGCGAACGCAAUAAGUAUCCCGCCUGGGGAGUACGGUCGCAAGACUGAAACUCAAAGGAAUUGACGGGGGCCCGCACAAGCAGUGGAGCAUGUGGUUUAAUUCGACGCAACCCGAAGAACCUUACCAGGUCUUGACAUUUAUGGAACGAGGUAGAGAUAUCUUGGUGCCCUUUCGGGGGAACCAUAAAACAGGUGGUGCAUGGUUGUCGUCAGCUCGUGUCGUGAGAUGUUGGGUUAAGUCCCGCAACGAGCGCAACCCUUGAUAAUAGUUGCCAGCAAGUAAGGUUGGGCACUCUAUUGUGACUGCCGUAGAUAAUACGGAGGAAGGUGGGGAUGACGUCAAAUCAUCAUGCCCUAUAUGACCUGGGCUACACACGUGCUACAAUGGGGUGAACAACGGGAAGCAAGCCAGCGAUGGUAAGCGGACCCCUAAAAACACCUCUCAGUUCAGAUUGCAGGCUGCAACCCGCCUGCAUGAAGUCGGAAUUGCUAGUAAUCGCGGAUCAGCAAGCCGCGGUGAAUACGUUCCCGGGCCUUGUACACACCGCCCGUCACACCACGAAAGUUGGCAACACCCGAAGUCGGUGAGGUAACCUUAAUCGGAACCAGCCGCCGAAGGUGGGGUCAGUAAUUGGGGUG
rnacentral:rRNA from 1 species